rnacentral:rRNA from 1 species
UACGAAGGGUGCAAGCGUUACUCGGAAUUACUGGGCGUAAAGCGCGUGUAGGUGGUUUGUUAAGUCUGUUGUGAAAGCCCCGGGCUCAACCUGGGAAUGGCAAUGGAUACUGGCAGGCUAGAGUGCGGUAGAGGGUAGUGGAAUUCCCGGUGUAGCGGUGAAAUGCGUAGAGAUCGGGAGGAACACCAGUGGCGAAGGCGGCUACCUGGAACAGCACUGACACUGAGGCACGAAAGCGUGGGGAGCAAACAGG